rnacentral:sRNA from 1 species
UGUCGAAGUCAGUCUGUAAUAGCUGGU